rnacentral:lncRNA from 1 species
AGGCAUGAUGGAGAUGCACAACUGCUUGGGCAAUUAUGCAAAGGUAUGUCUUUUUUUUUUGUCUUGAUUUGUUAUUGAAUAGCUUGUAGCUGGUGCCCAUGUAUUAACAUGAGUAGUAAUUUGUGCUACAUGAUCUUAUCAAGCGCACCCACCGCAAGUCCCAAAUGCUUGAAGGAUAUGGAGAGAUGGCUAAUGAUGAAGCAUGAUGGAUCACUAUUGAUCUUUGUAAUCAAAUGCAACAUCUCCGCCUCAUUGGUCGGAACAAGUCACUGAAUCAGCGGAUCCAAGGUAAUCUCUUAUUGAUGUUUGAGUAUUGAUUUUUCUUGUAUCACCGGCCCUCUUG